GACGAACGCUGGCGGCGUGCCUAAUACAUGCAAGUCGAACGCAGUGGGGACGGGUGAGUAACACGUUGGUAACCUCCCAUCAGAGGGGACAACACUUGGAAACAGGUGCUAAAACGAUACUGAUGGAUGGACCCGCGGUGCAUUAGCUAGUUGGUGAGGUAACGGCUCACCAAGGCCACGAUGCAUAUCCGACUGGAUAGUGUGAUCGGCCAGUCGUGGACUGAGACACUGCCCAGACUCCUACGCGAGGCAGCAGUAUGGAAUCUACGGCAAUGGACGAAAGUCUGACCGAGCCACGCCGCGUGAGUGAAGAAGGUUUGCGGAUCGUAAAACUAUGUUGUUAGAGAAGCGGGAUCUAACCAGAAAGCCACGGCUAACUACGUGCCAGCAGCCGCGGUAAUAC
rnacentral:rRNA from 1 species